rnacentral:rRNA from 1 species
GGUUAAGCGACUAAGCGUACACGGUGGAUGCCCUGGCAGUCAGAGGCGAUGAAGGACGUGCUAAUCUGCGAAAAGCGUCGGUAAGGUGAUAUGAACCGUUAUAACCGGCGAUGUCCGAAUGGGGAAACCCAGUG